GACGAACGCUGGCGGCGUGCUUAACACAUGCAAGUCGAACGGAGCGAAUGAAAGCUUGCUUUUAUGAGCUUAGUGGCAAACGGGUGAGUAACACGUAGACAACCUGCCGAUAGGAUGGGGACAACAUUCCGAAAGGAAUGCUAAUACCGAAUGGCGUGUAGGGGAGGCAUCUCCCGUACAUGAAAGAUGGCCUAUACAUGUAAGCUAUCACCUAUCGAUGGGUCUGCGUCUGAUUAGCUGGUUGGUGAGGUAACGGCUCACCAAGGCGACGAUCAGUAGCCGGUCUGAGAGGAUGAACGGCCACAUUGGGACUGAGACACGGCCCAGACUCCUACGGGAGGCAGCAGUGGGGAAUCUUCCGCAAUGGGCGCAAGCCUGACGGAGCAACGCCGCGUGAGUGAAGAAGGUCUUCGGAUCGUAAAGCUCUGUUGAAGGGGACGAACGUACAUAAGUUGAAUAAGCUUAUGUAAUGACGUACCUUUGAGGAGCCACG
rnacentral:rRNA from 1 species